AUUUUCCGGUUGAUCCUGCCGGAGGUUACUGCUAUCGAGGUUCGACUAAGCCAUGCGAGUCGAAUGUAGCAAUACAUGGCGUACUGCUCAGUAACACGUGGACAACCUGCCCUUAGGUUGGGUAUAAACCCGGGAAACUGGGUAUAAUCCCCUAUAAGUCUCGGCUGCUGGAAUGCACCGAGAUUAAAAGCUCCGGCGCCUAAGGAUGGGUCUGCGGCCUAUCAGGUAGUAGUGGGUGUAGCGUACCUACUAGCCUACGACGGGUACGGGUUGUGAGAGCAAGAGCCCGGAGAUGGAUUCUGAGACACGAAUCCAGGCCCUACGGGGUGCAGCAGGCGCGAAAACUUUACAAUGCUGGCAACAGCGAUAAGGGAACCUCGAGUGCCAGGUUACAAAUCUGGCUGUCGAGAUGCCUAAAAAGCAUUUCAUAGCAAGGGCCGGGCAAGACCGGUGCCAGCCGCCGCGGUAACACCGGCGGCUCGAGUGGUAACCGUUAUUAUUGGGUCUAAAGGGUCUGUAGCCGGCCGGAUAAGUCUCUUGAGAAAUCUGGCAGCUUAACUGUCAGGCUUUCAGGAGAUACUGUCUGGCUCGAGGCCGGGAGAGGUGAGAGGUACUUCAGGGGUAGGGGUGAAAUCUUGUAAUCCUUGAAGGACCACCAGUGGCGAAGGCGUCUCACCAGAACGGACCUGACGGCAAGGGACGAAAGCUAGGGGCACGAACCGGAUUAGAUACCCGGGUAGUCCUAGCCGUAAACGAUACUCGCUAGGUGUCGGCCACGGUGCGACCGUUGUCGGUGCCGUAGGGAAGCCGUGAAGCGAGCCACCUGGGAAGUACGGCCGCAAGGCUGAAACUUAAAGGAAUUGGCGGGGGAGCACCACAACGGGUGGAGCUUGCGGUUUAAUUGGAUUCAACGCCGGAAAU
rnacentral:rRNA from 1 species